UUGGUACCGCUCCGGUCAACUCAGAAAUACCGUCCGGGUAUCCUACUUGUCCGGAGUCAACUCCUAAUAUUUAAUUCAUACACAUGUUUAACAAAAGUUUCUAACCAACAAAGUAAUAAGGGAAAAUAAAAAAUAAAAAGCAUACGUGCGACAACUUACACUAGUUUUCCUAUUCUAUAUCUAAGCCAAACAGAUGAGAGGAAUAAACAUGUGUGUGUAUGUAUGUGUAUGAGCAGAAGCCAGCAGCAAGUAGUACUAAUCCACUCAGCUUGUCAUCGAUUUGUGAAGGCAAAAGAAAAAAAGAAAAAAAAUAAAGCACUGCGCAGACAAACUUCACCGACCGCAUCCAUUCUCCUCCUCCUCCUCUUUUUCUCUCGUUCCCUGCCUCUCUUUCCCCAUUCUCUCCCAAGCGAGCGCAGUACGCCGCCACCAGCUCGAUCUCCCUGCUCCGGCCAUGUCUGGCGACUACGAGGCCAGUUUCGGGUUCCUCUCUCCUUCCUCUACUAGAUCUCCAACUUAAUUUCUACCAAUCGACAUAUACUCGUCCCAAAUUUGUAAACCUAGUUCUUGCGCUGCCAUGGCCGACGUCGUCUACCUCGGCUCCGGCGAGGUCCACCACGUCGUCUCCCUGCUACCACGGUGCUCCUCCACCUAC
rnacentral:lncRNA from 1 species